GCUAAAAAUCUAGCCCUAUACCCCUGUAAUAACCACAUUACCCUUCCCCUAUAAACUAAAACAUUUAUCUGUCUAGUAAAGGCGAUUGAAAAACUAAUUAGAGCUAUAACAACUGUACCGCAAGGAAAAGAUGAAAUAAAAAUGAAACAAAACUCAAGCAUAAAAAAGCAGAGCCACAUUCUCGUACCUUUUGCAUUAUGAUUUAACAAGUCUAACCAAGCAAAAAGCUCUUCAGUUUGACCCCCCGAAACUAGACGAGCUACUUCGAGGCAGCUUAAUGAGCACACCCGUCUCUGUUGCAAAAGAGUGGGAAGACCCCUAAGUAGCGGUGACAGACCUAACGAGCCUAGUGAUAGCUGGUUACUUAAAAAAAGGAUUUUAGUCCUACCUAGAGCACCCUCAAUUUUUCUAAAUAACUCACAUGCUUUAGUGCUAUUCAAAUGAGGUACAGCCCAUUUGAAACAAGGAUACAACCUGCACUAAUGGGUAAUCUUAUAUGGGGCCCCCCGUAAACAAGUGGGCCUAAAAGCAGCCAUCUUUAAAAAAGCGUCAAAGCUUAUCUACUUCUCCCCUUACUAAUUACACAAAAUAUUCUGAACCCUUUAUUAAUAUUAAGUUAUUCUAUAAUACUAUAGAAGCCAUUAUGUUAAAACUAGUAAUAAGAAGAAGACCUUCUCUUGAAUGUAUAUAUAAACCAGAAAGGACCCCCCACUGGUAAUUAAACGUCCAUGAUUAGAAAACAGCAACUUCUACUAGAAAACCCUGUUAUUCCUAACGUUAACCUAACACCAGCACAUUUCAAGAAAGAUUAAAAGAAAAAGAAGGAACUCGGCAAAUAUUAACCCCGCCUGUUUACCAAAAACAUCGCCUCUUGAACCCUAUAAGAGGUCCAGCCUGCCCAGUGACUUAGUUUAACGGCCGCGGUAUCCUAACCGUGCAAAGGUAGCGUAAUCACUUGUUCUUUAAAUGAGGACUAGUAUGAAUGGCAUCACGAGGGUUCCACUGUCUCUUUUUUCCAAUCAAUGAAACUGAUCUUCCCGUGAAGAAGCGGGAAUUUUAAUAUUAGACGAGAAGACCCUAUGGAGCUUCAAACUAAAUAGCACCGGCUUUUUCCCUUGUAUACCUCAAGGGGUAUUAAUAUUUAUUCUAGCCUUUUAACUAUUAGUUUUAGGUUGGGGUGACCACGGAGUAAAAAUUAACCUCCACAAUGAAUAGAACUAUUCUUGAGCCAAAAGCCACAACUUUAAGCACUAACAAAUUAACAUAAGUUGACCCAAUAUUUUGAACAACGAACCAAGUUACCCUAGGGAUAACAGCGCAAUCCACUUCAAGAGCCCUUAUCGACAAGUGGGUUUACGACCUCGAUGUUGGAUCAGGGUAUCCCAGUGGUGCAGCCGCUACUAAAGGUUCGUUUGUUCAACGAUUAAAACCCU
rnacentral:rRNA from 1 species